UACGUAGGGUCCAAGCGUUGUCCGGAAUUACUGGGCGUAAAGAGCUCGUAGGUGGUUUGUCGCGUUGUUCGUGAAAACCGGGGGCUUAACCCUCGGCGUGCGGGCGAUACGGGCAGACUUGAGUACUGCAGGGGAGACUGGAAUUCCUGGUGUAGCGGUGGAAUGCGCAGAUAUCAGGAGGAACACCGGUGGCGAAGGCGGGUCUCUGGGCCGAUACUGACGCUGAGGAGCGAAAGCGUGGGGAGCAAACAGG
rnacentral:rRNA from 1 species